ensembl:lncRNA
UUUUCCAACAUCUCAGCGCCAUGAGAUUGAAUCAAUGUUUGCAUUUUUGGAGACCUAUGAUACUCACGCUUCCUAACUAAUCGUCGUGAAGGUUUCAACUGAAUGGCAGACAGAAAUAAAUAGAUCAUAGUUUGUUGUUGCCCACAGCUACAAGAAAACACCUGCAAUAUACAUCUAUAGUGGCGGAAGAUUAAUUUGUACGAUUUUUUUCCUUCCUGUCUCUGACAGACCAGACCGCAGUUAACGUUUGUGAUGGCGGGGUGUGGUCAGCUCAGCUGCAGGGGUGAGAACGGGGGAGUGGUUCAGGGGACGGUGACGGCAGGAGAGUAAGGAGCACAGGUGGAAGUGAUCAGAACUGAUUGUGUGUCCCUUGAAAAGCAGUGAGCAGGGCCUGGAGAGAGAGGGAGACUCUGCAGCAGACGCUCAGCGGCAAGGCCGAGGAGGAGGAGGAGGAGGAGGAGGAGGAGGAGGAGGAGGAGGAGGAGGAGGAGGAGGACGAGGACGACCAUGCGAAACCUGCUCACUGCGAGAAAAUAAAAUAAAAUAUAUUGCUCAGAAGAAUCGUGUCUCCGUGCGUCCUUACGCGAACCCCAAAGGUGGUGGCUCGAACCUGCUACAACGUUAAAACUAUCCCUCCCUUCACCUCCAGAAUAAAAAAGGCAGGCCAGCGUAUUCCGGUCCCAACAGUUGUGGAAGUUACGUUCUUUUUACUGACAAACAUGUUGUAGAAAUAUUCAUCUUAUACACACAAUUAAUACGUCUGUUACACGGACAUCACUGUAACAUUUAAAUGGACUCUUCAUUUCUUACUUAACAGAACAUUUAUGCGACAGCUCACUGAAAUGGGGUCGAAGAUAUUUCGCUGGUCAACAAAGUUUUAUAUUUAUUAAGAUCAUGUAGUAAAAUGUAUUUGAAAUUUGCUGUCUUGUAUUUGAUAUGGCCCUUCAGUAUUGUCUUAAAAGGUAAAUUGAUAGUCCAUUCUACAUGUUUCAUCUGUAAGUUAAAAGUUAAAACAUUGACUUCCCUGUGACAUUAGGGAAUGCCAGUAUUCCAGUUCUCUAAUUUCACUUCUCUAAUAUAUUUAUCUCAUCUUUUAUUUUUUGCUCAGCAUCACCAAGGCUCCGGAGGCAACCUCUGUAUGAUAGUAAGUAAUAGGCUGUAUGCUCAAUGCUUUUUCACUGCAUUUGUUUAGUGGGAUGUGUGCUAAUUAUCCUGUUCUCCUUUAUAGGAUUAUGCAUGUGGAAGGAAAAGCGGUUUGGAUCUGAUUUGAGGUUGAUAUUCAUUUACAUUGUCAGUAAUUGAAAUACACAAUGCACUUGAUCAUUUUGGCAAUUUUGUUAAUUAAUUUCCUGAUCAGAUGGUUUAUUAUUUUGUAUUUGCUCCGUAUGGUCAGUUCUGACUUCUCUGAGAAUUUGCACUAAAAAAUGCCUGAACUGCAUUAUGUUUCAUGUGUCUUAAUAGGGGAUCAAAUAAAAAAUGUUUGUAUUAAAUAAUUGUUUUAGAAGUAUUUGAUCAAAAUGAGUACUAAUUCAAUAUAAUCCUCUUGCAUGGUUGUUCUUAGAUUGAGAUAUGUCUACACAUAUGUGUUGGAUGUACUGCACACCAAUAAAUUGAGUUCAUCCAAUGACUUUUUGAGUUUAGAUUGAGUUCAACGAACAACAUUUUUUUAUAUUUGGUUCAUUUUAGAUGAAUUUGAUCAAAAUGAAUCCGGAAUCAGGAAACAUUUAUUGCCAAAAGAUGUCAUAUAUACAAGGAAUUUGACUUGGCGGUAAUACACUAUAAUAGAAUAAAGAUAAAGUUAAAAAUUAAAAAUAUUUAAAAAGUUAAAUAUAAAAAAAUAAAGUGCACCAGCGAACAAGUGACAAAGUGACGAGUGACGACUAAGUGACGAGUGACGACAAAGUGACGGGUGAAAAAUGACAGUAAAGUGACGUGUGCAGUAUGAAAGAAAGUGACCGGUGGAAUGUCUCCUGCCAGAUGGAAGGGGCACAAACAGGUUUUGUCCGGGGUGAGAGGGGUUGGCUACGAUCUUUAUAGCUAGCUUCAGAGACCUGGAAGCGAACAAGUCCUGCAGGGACGGCACAUUGCAGCCAAUCACCCUGCAGAGUGGGUGACACGCUGCCUGCCCUUGUCCUUGGCUGUGGCUGCAGCGUACCAGACGAUGAUGGAGGAGCAGUGGAUGGACUCCAUGAUGGCCGUGUACAAGUGGACCAUCAUCGUCUUUGGCAGGUUGAAUUUCUUCAGCUGCCUCAGGACGAACAACCUCUGUUGAGCCUUCUUGGUGACUGGAGGUGCAGCUGUUGAUGUACAGGGAGACGAGCAGAGGGGAAAGAACGCAGCUUUGGGGGGGAACCGGUGCUGAUGGUCCGAGAGGCUGAGACAUGUUUCCCCUUCAUUCGCUGCUUCCUGUCAGACAGAAAGUCUGUGAUCCACUUGCAGGUGGAGUCGGGCAUGUGUAGCUGAGAGAGUUUGUCCUG